UUCAAAAAUAACUUUGGAUUCUCUGACCUGCUUCACUAAUGCAUGCUGCUGUAAAACCAGGAUGAAGACAAACAGCAUUCUGAACCACAUUCAGAGGCAUUUCUGACUAAGCUUGGUUAGGAGUUCAAGACAAGCCUGUGAAAGACCGCGAGAUGGUUUCUAACAGUAUCACUGGCCUAAGUUGACAUGGUGUCAUUUCACUGCAAGUAUUGAGGUUUAGAAAAGUUCUUCAAGAUUUGACCCGAGUGAGUGUAACACAGAGAUGAUUAUUCUCAAGUUUUGAAAACAGUCUUGACUGAGGAAAAUUUCAGUUUCCUCAC
rnacentral:lncRNA from 1 species